CAAAAACAUAGUCUCUUGUUUUUUUAUAAGAGAUGAUUUCUGCUCGGUGUUUUUAAACAGCCGCAGUAAUUUGACUGUGCAAAGGUAGCAUAAUCAUUUGCCUCAUAAUUGGGGGCUUGUAUGAAUGGUAUUACGAAAGUUUAACUGUCUUUUAUUUAUUUUUAUAAUUUGUAUUUGGUGUGAAGAUACACUAAUUUUUUAAUGGGACAAGAAGACCCUUUUGAGCUUUAUUUUAUAGGUUACUUUUUGUUUGUAUUUAAUUUGGUUGGGGCGACCUAGGAAGAGAUAUUUAUUUAUAUUUUAUCUUCCUUUAGUUUUGGAGAACCAGUAUUUUUGGUAUAUAGAUUGAGUUACCAAAGGGAUAACAGCGUAAUUUUUUUUGAGAGUUCUUAUUAAAAAUUAAGAUUGCGACCUCGAUGUUGACUUAUAGUUUCCUUUUGGUGCAGUAGCUUAUAGGGUAGGUCUGUUCGACCUUUAAUACUUUACGUGAUCUGA
rnacentral:rRNA from 1 species